GGAGGGGGUGGGAUUGCAAUUGCAAAGGUGGUCUGCUUUUGCUUGCCCGUGUGUUCUGCUUGUGGAUUGGGCAUACACGAGGAGAUGGAGGCAGGUAGCUGCGCCUUCAGCCAGCUCGGUUUGGGAACUGAAGUGUUUUCUUUUUGCUAGUGAGCUGUGUGUGAGAGAGAGAGCGAUUAUUACAGCAGUCGUCAAGCCUUAAAAAAAAAAAUGUUUGUAGCUCGCUGCCUGAUGGCUUCUGGCUUAAACAAGGUCCAUCAGGCUGGGACUUGCAAUGGGUCUUCUAAAGCUACUAGACAUUGUAGUUCAUCAGAGGAAGGUGAUCAGGAAAUGCAUAUGAAAAUGUGUAAGAAGAUCGCCCAGCUCACCAAGGUAAUAAAUAAGUUUUGUCUUUUGUUUUGCUACAGCUCACGCCGUGGUGGUUUCCGGAUUUCGGAGCAUUUCGGGUGUCUGUAUGAGGGAUACUCAACCUGUAGGAGCCCGUCUUUGCCUUAAAUCUGGAUGGCACAGGGUUUUGCACACAUCACCAGAAAUUCAAUGGGCCCUGAAGACUCGGAGUCUCCAACAUAAUUAGAAGUGGGGAAGAGGGGGGUCUGUGCUGCCUCUUGCUGGUGCACUCUAAGUGCUCUUUCAUACACUGUUCCCCUGCAGUGUACUGAGUCCCAACUGUCAAUGCCUUGCAUUUCAGCAGCACCAGUCCAUAGGUUUGAGUUAUAAGUUAUGCUGGUGGCCAGGAGACCCAAAAUACCUUUUUCUUUACUUGGGGAAGUGCUGUAUGACAUAGAAUAUGAAAAAAAGUGUGAACAGUGGGAAUUGUACGUAUUUAUGUUCUUCUCUUUCAGAUGGGAUAUGAUGUUUCAUAUUUUUAAGAGUGCUAAAAGUAUGUGUGGAUUUUACCUGGUCCAAGUGGCCCAUGUUAUUCUAUCAAUCAGAAUCUGAUCCAGGAGCUGUUUUCCUGAAGGCACUUCAUAAACUUGCCUUUUGUAAGACCCAGUAGAGACCUUUAAGAAUGAAUACAGAGGAUACAAAAGCUGGAUUUACAGAGAUUAUCAUCGCAGUCAGCAGGUGUGUCUAGAAGAGGACCAUGGAACACUCAGGAGCCUCAAUGUAGUCCCCCUCAAAAAUGGUGAUCGAAAGUGUUAGAAUUGACUAUGCUGGCCAUCUGGUAAGGGAUGUUAACAAUGCAGCAGAAUCACGUCUGCAUAUAGAUCACAACCAGCAAGGCGUUCCACAUGUAGAUAUCACUUUUAAGGAAUCCAGAAUCAUAGCAAAUCCUAUAGCAGAUGGAGCCAUAGCUAAGUGGUAGAGCAUCUGCUUGCAUGCAGAAGGACCUAGGUGCAACCCCUUGGAACUCCAGAUCCAAAGAAGAUCAAGGUUCUUCAUACCAGCUUGGAAUGAAGGUUGCACAGAAGUGGACGCUCGUGUACCCAUUGGCAAGGCGGGGAGUGUUUCCCUUAAAAAGCAGGAAUCUGCAGACAACACUACCUCCUAUUUUUGAAAAUGGUGGCAUCAGUUACCUGCUUUCACUUUCUUUUCCUUACUUCCUCUAUAGACACAUAAGUGCUUUAAAAAUAUCCUCCAAAUGCAACCUUUGUAAGAACAUUCCGAUAAAGAAGAUAACUUCUUAAACCUC